UACGUAGGGUGCAAGCGUUAAUCGGAAUUACUGGGCGUAAAGCGUGCGCAGGCGGUUUUGUAAGUCUGUCGUGAAAGCCCCGGGCUCAACCUGGGAAUUGCGAUGGAGACUGCAAGGCUUGAAUCUGGCAGAGGGGGGUAGAAUUCCACGUGUAGCAGUGAAAUGCGUAGAGAUGUGGAGGAACACCGAUGGCGAAGGCAGCCCCCUGGGUCAAGAUUGACGCUCAUGCACGAGAGCGUGGGGAGCAAACAGG
rnacentral:rRNA from 1 species